CAUAGAAAAAUAAAAAUAAUUAAAUGAAAUUGUUCUAAUCAAUUUAUAUAUUCUUAUAUAUUAAACGUGUCUAUCUGCAAAUGUUUCUUAUAAUUCUGUUUAUCGAGAAAGUAGAAUGUAUCGUUUUUAUAUUUAUUUUGAUAUUACGUUCAAACCAGAAAGUAUUUUGUUUUCGGAGAAUUGAUUCAUGAUUGUACGACGCUCGACAUAUUUCGAUUUGUUGUCAAACUUCAAGCCUAUCUUGUCUCUAAUCCAAUUCGAUAAUCGAAACACAGUGUGAGAUGCCAUUCUUCCAUCGAAAGUCGUGCCGUUUGGAUGCUUCGCUUCAGAUUUCAUUUUCUCCUACUUGAUGACUUGAUGACUUCCCAUGGGUGAACAUCAAUAGCAAUACAGAUUCUUUGUAUCUAAUGGUAAAUCUGUAUUUUUGUUUCUCUAAUCAUCUAUAAUGAAAGGUCCGAAUCGA